rnacentral:rRNA from 1 species
UUUUAGGAUCGUAAAGCUCUGUUGUAAGAGAAGAACGAGUGUGAGAGUGGAAAGUUCACACUGUGACGGUAUCUUACCAGAAAGGGACGGCUAACUACGUGCCAGCAGCCGCGGUAAUACGUAGGUCCCGAGCGUUGUCCGGAUUUAUUGGGCGUAAAGCGAGCGCAGGCGGUUAGAUAAGUCUGAAGUUAAAGGCUGUGGCUUAACCAUAGUAGGCUUUGGAAACUGUUUAACUUGAGUGCAAGAGGGGAGAGUGGAAUUCCAUGUGUAGCGGUGAAAUGCGUAGAUAUAUGGAGGAACACCGGUGGCGAAAGCGGCUCUCUGGCUUGUAACUGACGCUGAGGCUCGAAAGCGUGGGGAGCAAACAGGAUUAGAUACCCUGGUAGUCCACGCUGUAAACGAUGAGUGCUAGGUGUUAGACCCUUUCCGGGGUUUAGUGCCGUAGCUAACGCAUUAAGCACUCCGCCUGGGGAGUACGACCGCAAGGUUG